UACAGAGGGUGCUAGCGUUGUUCGGAAUCAUUGGGCGUAAAGGGCGUGUAGGCGGUUUGUUAAGUCAUGUGUGAAAUCCCUUGGCUCAACCGGGGAAGGACGCAUGAAACUGGCAAGCUAGAGUACCAAAGAGGGGGGUGGAAUUCCCGGUGUAGCGGUGAAAUGCGUAGAUAUCUGGAGGAAUACCGGUGGCGAAGGCGGCAUCCUGGACCGGCAUUGACGCUGAGGAGCGAAAGCCAGGGGAGCAAACGGG
rnacentral:rRNA from 1 species